UACGUAGGGUGCAGGCGUUAAUCGGAAUUACUGGGCGUAAAGCGUGCGCAGGCGGUGAUGUAAGUCAGUUGUGAAAUCCCCGGGCUCAACCUGGGAACUGCAUCUGUGACUGCAUCGCUGGAGUGCGGCAGAGGGGGAUGGAAUUCCGCGUGUAGCAGUGAAAUGCGUAGAUAUGCGGAGGAACACCGAUGGCGAAGGCAAUCCCCUGGGCCUGCACUGACGCUCAUGCACGAAAGCGUGGGGAGCAAACAGG
rnacentral:rRNA from 1 species